UGCAAGUCGAGGGGUAACAGAGAGUGCUUGCACUUUGCUGACGACCGGCGCACGGGUGCGUAACGCGUAUAGAAUCUACCUUUUAGUGAGGGAUAGCCCAGAGAAAUUUGGAUUAAUACCUCAUAGUAUCAAUGAAUAGCAUUAUUUAUUGAUUAAAGAUUUAUUGCUAAAAGAUGACUAUGCGUUCUAUUAGCUGGUUGGUAUGGUAACGGCAUACCAAGGCUACGAUAGAUAGGGGUCCUGAGAGGGAGAUCCCCCACACUGGUACUGAGACACGGACCAGACUCCUACGGGAGGCAGCAGUGAGGAAUAUUGGACAAUGGAGGCAACUCUGAUCCAGCCAUGCCGCGUGUAGGAAGACUGCCCUAUGGGUUGUAAACUACUUUUAUAGAGGAAGAAACCGCUCUACGUGUAGAGCUCUGACGGUACUCUACGAAUAAGGAUCGGCUAACUCCGUGCCAGCAGCCGCGGUAAUACGGAGGAUCCAAGCGUUAUCCGGAAUCAUUGGGUUUAAAGGGUCCGUAGGCGGUUUAGUAAGUCAGUGGUGAAAGUUUUCGGCUCAACCGGAAAAUUGCCAUUGAUACUGCUAGACUUGAAUUAUUGUGAAGUGGUUAGAAUGUGUAGUGUAGCGGUGAAAUGCAUAGAUAUUACACAGAAUACCGAUUGCGAAGGCAGAUCACUAACAAUAUAUUGACGCUAAGGGACGAAAGCGUGGGUAGCGAACAGGAUUAGAUACCCUGGUAGUCCACGCCGUAAACGAUGGUUACUAGCUGUUCGAA
rnacentral:rRNA from 1 species